ACCAUCUGACAACAUAACUUCAAUUCAACCCACAAAAAACUAGAGGCAGCAAGAAGCUUGUGGUUAUUAGUAUUAGUUGGUGAAGUUGGAGAUUGUGGCUUGAGGCUCACAAGCCUUGGCAGCAGGGCUGGGCUCAACAGCAGGGCUUGGUUCCACAAGCUUCACAGCAGUAAGCUCCUCAGGCAAAUCCUCAAUCCCCUUGAGGUAAAAAGUGUAGAGGAUCUUGAAAGGGAACACAAUCUGGUGCAGCUUCACCUGCCCGUACACUCCUUCAAAGAUCCCAGAGCCACCAGUCACAGCCAGAUACGUGUCCUCGUAGGUCAAAUAAGGUCCUUGAACUGAAAU
rnacentral:lncRNA from 1 species